rnacentral:rRNA from 1 species
CUGAAACAUCUAAGUACCCCGAGGAAAAGAAAUCAACCGAGAUUCCCCCAGUAGCGGCGAGCGAACGGGGAGGAGCCCAGAGCCUGAAUCAGUGUGUGUGUUAGUGGAAGCGUCUGGAAAGGCGUGCGAUACAGGGUGACAGCCCCGUACACAAAAAUGCACAUACUGUGAGCUCGAUGAGUAGGGCGGGACACGUGGUAUCCUGUCUGAAUAUGGGGGGACCAUCCUCCAAGGCUAAAUACUCCUGACUGACCGAUAGUGAACCAGUACCGUGAGGGAAAGGCGAAAAGAACCCCGGCGAGGGGAGUGAAAAAGAACCUGAAACCGUGUACGUACAAGCAGUGGGAGCCUCUUUAUGGGGUGACUGCGUACCUUUUGUAUAAUGGGUCAGCGACUUAUAUUCUGUAGCAAGGUUAACCGAAUAGGGGAGCCGAAGGGAAACCGAGUCUUAACUGGGCGUUAAGUUGCAGGGUAUAGACCCGAAACCCGGUGAUCUAGCCAUGGGCAGGUUGAAGGUUGGGUAACACUAACUGGAGGACCGAACCGACUAAUGUUGAAAAAUUAGCGGAUGACUUGUGGCUGGGGGUGAAAGGCCAAUCAAACCGGGAGAUAGCUGGUUCUCCCCGAAAGCUAUUUAGGUAGCGCCUCGUGAAUUCAUCUCCGGGGGUAGAGCACUGUUUCGGCAAGGGGGUCAUCCCGACUUACCAACCCGAUGCAAACUGCGAAUACCGGAGAAUGUUAUCACGGGAGACACACGGCGGGUGCUAACGUCCGUCGUGAAGAGGGAAACAACCCAGACCGCCAGCUAAGGUCCCAAAGUCAUGGUUAAGUGGGAAACGAUGUGGGAAGGCCCAGACAGCCAGGAUGUUGGCUUAGAAGCAGCCAUCAUUUAAAGAAAGCGUAAUAGCUCACUGGUCGAGUCGGCCUGCGCGGAAGAUGUAACGGGGCUAAACCAUG